CCUACGGGAGGCAGCAGUGAGGAAUAUUGGUCAAUGGGCUUACACCUGAACCAGCCAAGUCGCGUGAGGGAAGACUGCCCUAUGGGUUGUAAACCUCUUGUGUCAGGGAGCAACGCCGGCUACGUGUAGCCGGACUGAGAGUACCUGAAGAAAACGCAUCGGCUAACUCCGUGCCAGCAGCCGCGGUAAUACGGAGGAUGCGAGCGUUAUCCGGAUUUAUUGGGGUUAAAGGGUGCGUAGGCGGAAUGCCAAGUCAGCGGUAAAAUCGCGGGCCUCAACCUUUCUCCGCCGUUGAAACUGGCGUUCUUGAGUGGGCGAGAAGUAUGCGGAAUGCGUGGUGUAGCGGUGAAAUGCAUAGAUAUCACGCAGAACUCCGAUUGCGAAGGCAGCAUACCGGCGCCCAACUGACGCUGAAGCACGAAAGCGUGGGUAGCGAACAGGAUUAGAUACCCGAGUAGUC
rnacentral:rRNA from 1 species